CUCGAUUUGCACCGUCAUUCGGGCUGUUGGGAAGGCAGAGGGGAGGCGCUCUGCGUGCCUCCGCGUACCUGGAUCUGAGUGCAGAAGUGUGUAUGAAUGCCUGUGCCUCUGUAUUGGUAAACUUCAUGAGAUGGUAACUUGACUAAAGAUACUUUGGAGAAGCGGGGAGUGAGGCGGUGUGUAUACGAGGAGUUUGUCGGUGUAUGUGUGCGUGAGUGUAGGUGUAAGAACACACCUCCGUUCGAGGGGCUUUGGAGUGUCUGCCGGUGCGACAGCGGAGGAAGAGCAGAGCUUCUGAGGCUGCCUGUAUCCUGCUGCUCCGUUAGUGUCUGAGUCACUGGGUUAGUGGUUGUCGAAGUGUCGCCCAGAUCAACUGUAGAUCUCCCAGCCCCGCGAGCCCAGCCAUAGGCCCCGCGUCGCCGCAGCCUCUCGGCGAGGCCCGGACACAGAAUGCUGGGGGCGGCGUCCAGAGAUGGAGAAUCGACGUAAUUUCUCUGGCUGCGGGUGCGCUGCGUGUAUCAGAAUAAAUCCAGCUCUCAGGCAUCCAGCAGGAAACGGAUCCCGGUUCCCGAGUGUGGAGGCGCCCCAUCCGCUCAGCUCAGGACGCGAGGUGGCUCCUCGUGCCCAAAAGGCUGCAGGUCUGGCUUCCGAGGGAGGCUGGACUAUCAGCGCCCUCGGCCUUAGCAGUCUCUCCCGGUCGGCAGUGCCCCGCAGCCCCCACCCUCUGCCGGUGCUUCGGAAACCCGCCCGGGCCGAGUCCGCCCGGGGCGAAAAUUGAAAGCAAAUUCCAAGGCAGACGGAGCUCGAAGUUUCUUCAAAGCAAGUUUGCAGCAGAGAUUCGGUGGUCGCUUUGAGACGACAGCGCGCUUAAGGGGUGUGUCCGAGCGCCAAGUGGGGAGGUGGGCAAAGAGGGUACCUGGUGGCCGAGCUUGGUCCGCGGCGAAACGCGACGGAAGGCGCCUCCCUUUCCUUAUUUCUCGCCAACUUCUCGGGCCCUGCCCCGUAAAAAAUAGUUUCCAAGGUGCCGCGGACGCUCAGGAUGCGUUUAUGGGAAUCGCACCAGGGAGAAGGCGACUUUGUAAAAGUUGCCGAAAGCUUUGCCCACAAGCGUCCGCCCAGCGGGGCUCAGAAAGCUUGGGACCAACUCGCCUUCUCCCGGGCAGAAUUGAGCCCCCUUGGAGAGUCCCCUGCCCAGCGCUUUCCCCUCACCUCGAAACCGCACGUGAACAACCUCCUGCUGCCCGCACUGCCAACUUCCCCCCGCACUGCCGCGGUCGGCGGGCGAGGCCCGGACGCAGAGCCAGCCCGCAAGGCCGCUCGUCUGCCCGCGCAUCCCAGCCUUGAGAUAGGCUUGCGCGUAGACUGGGCUGCCCACUUGCCUGCCCAGACCAUCACCGUGGACCUCCCAGAGCAGCGCUUCCCCUGGGGAGCGGUGGUCUUGGGGGGCUGACGAGGGCGCAAACUGCGCGCGCGGGGGGAGAGAGGGCGGCCGCCGGUCUCUCCGCGGGGCCUGUCGCCCGGCCGGCCGCGGCGGGUGAGUGAUGAGGGCAGAGAAGGGCGCCCAUAAAUCGCGGGUGUCAGGGCGAAAAACUCUCUUUAUUGUCUGCGUGAUGGAUGGGCCCGGGGACGAGACACCAAAUACUUCGUAUCGCCUUUAAAUGGGAACACAUUUUCCGCGGCCAUAAUUCAUGUUUUUUAAAUAGAAAGUUUGAAA